UACGGAGGGGGCUAGCGUUGUUCGGAAUUACUGGGCGUAAAGGGUGCGUAGGCGGUUGUUUAAGUCUGUUGUGAAAUCCCCGGGCUCAACCUGGGAAUGGCAAUGGAUACUGGACGGCUAGAGUGUGGUAGAGGUCUCGGGAAUUCCUGGUGUAGCGGUGAAAUGCGUAGAUAUCAGGAGGAACACCGGUGGCGAAAGCGCGAGACUGGGCCAUAACUGACGCUGAGGAACGAAAGCUAGGGGAGCGAAAGGG
rnacentral:rRNA from 1 species